AUUGAACGCUGGCGGCAUGCUUUACACAUGCCAGUCGAACGGCAGCGCGGGCUUCGGCCUGGCGGCGAGUGGCGAACGGGUGAGUAAUGCAUCGGAACGUGCCCAGUAGUGGGGGAUAGCACAGCGAAAGCCGGAUUAAUACCGCAUACGACAUGAGGGUGAAAGCGGGGGACCGAAAGGCCUCGCGCUAUUUGAGCGGCCGAUGUCGGAUUAGCUAGUUGGUGGGGUAAAGGCUUACCAAGGCGACGAUCCGUAGCUGGUCUGAGAGGACGACCAGCCACACUGGGACUGAGACACGGCCCAGACUCCUACGGGAGGCAGCAGUGGGGAAUUUUGGACAAUGGGGGCAACCCUGAUCCAGCCAUGCCGCGUGCGGGAAGAAGGCCUUCGGGUUGUAAACCGCUUUUGUUCGGGAAGAAAUCCUCUGGGCUAAUACCCCGGGGGGAUGACGGUACCGGAAGAAUAAGCACCGGCUAACUACGUG
rnacentral:rRNA from 1 species